GGCGGACGGGUGAGUAAUGCUUAGGAAUCUGCCAUUUAGUGGGGGACAACAUUCCGAAAGGAAUGCUAAUACCGCAUACGUCCUACGGGAGAAAGCAGGGGAUCUUCGGACCUUGCGCUAAAUGAUGAGCCUAAGUCGGAUUAGCUAGUUGGUGGGGUAAAGGCCUACCAAGGCGACGAUCUGUAGCGGGUCUGAGAGGAUGAUCCGCCACACUGGGACUGAGACACGGCCCAGACUCCUACGGGAGGCAGCAGUGGGGAAUAUUGGACAAUGGGCGGAAGCCUGAUCCAGCCAUGCCGCGUGUGUGAAGAAGGCCUUUUGGUUGUAAAGCACUUUAAGCGAGGAGGAGGCUACUAGUACUAAUACUACUGGAUAGUGGACGUUACUCGCAGAAUAAGCACCGGCUAACUCUGUGCCAGCAGCCGCGGUAAUACAGAGGGUGCGAGCGUUAUUCGGAUUUACUGGGCGUAAAGCGUGCGUACGCGGCUUUUUAAGUCCCAUGUGAAAUCC
rnacentral:rRNA from 1 species